GAGCUUUGUCAGUAACAGUUGAUUGCUACAUUCAGUAACACUGAAUGUCAGUGCAGUCCAAUUUACAGGCUGGAGCAGCAGCUGCAUCCUGCAUUUCUCUGAAGUAUUGCAUGAUUUUCACUCCUUGAAAAGUUUACCACCUUUGUUGCAGAGAAUCGGAAAUCAAUAUGCAUAGCAAAGCCACAAUCAUAUGCAUCCGAUUUCUCUUUUGGUUUCUUUUGCUCUGCAUGCUUAUUGGAAAGUCACAUACUGAAGAUGACAUCGUAAUUGCAACAAAGAAUGGAAAAGUCAGAGGGAUGAACUUAACAGUUCUUGGUGGCACGGUAACAGCCUUUCUUGGAAUUCCCUAUGCACAGCCACCUCUUGGUAGACUUCGAUUCAAAAAGCCACAGUCUCUGACCAAGUGGUCUGAUAUUUGGAAUGCCACAAAAUAUGCAAAUUCUUGCUAUCAGAACAUAGAUCAAAGUUUUCCAGGCUUCCAUGGAUCAGAGAUGUGGAACCCAAACACUGACCUCAGUGAAGACUGUUUAUAUCUAAAUGUAUGGAUUCCGGCACCUAAACCAAAAAAUGCUACUGUAAUGAUAUGGAUUUAUGGUGGUGGUUUUCAGAGUGGAACAUCAUCUUUACAUGUUUAUGAUGGCAAGUUUCUGGCUCGAGUUGAAAGAGUUAUUGUAGUGUCAAUGAACUAUAGGGUGGGUGCCCUUGGAUUCUUAGCUUUGCCAGGAAAUCCUGAGGCUCCAGGGAACAUGGGUUUAUUUGAUCAACAGUUGGCUCUUCAGUGGGUUCAAAAAAAUAUAGCAGCCUUUGGUGGAAAUCCUAAAAGUGUAACUCUCUUUGGAGAAAGUGCAGGAGCAGCUUCAGUUAGCCUGCAUUUGCUUUCUCCUGGAAGCCAUUCAUUGUUCACCAGAGCCAUUCUACAAAGUGGAUCCUCUAAUGCUCCUUGGGCAGUAACAUCUCUUUAUGAAGCUAGGAACAGAACAUUGACCUUGGCUAAAUUGACUGGUUGCUCUAGAGAUAAUGAGACUGAAAUAGUCAAGUGCCUUAGAAAUAAAGAUCCCCACGAAAUUCUUCUGAAUGAAGCAUUUGUUGUCCCCUAUGGGACUCUCUUGUCAGUAAACUUCGGUCCAACCAUGGAUGGUGAUUUUCUCACUGACAUGCCAGACAUAUUACUUGAACUUGGACAAUUUAAAAAAACCCAGAUCUUGGUGGGUGUUAAUAAAGAUGAAGGGACAGCUUUUUUAGUCUAUGGUGCUCCUGGCUUCAGCAAAGAUAACGAUAGUAUCAUAACUAGAAACGAAUUUCAGGAAGGUUUAAAAAUAUUUUUUCCAGGCGUGAGUGAGUUUGGAAAGGAAUCCAUCCUUUUUCAUUACACAGACUGGGUAGAUGAUCAGAGACCUGAAAACUACCGUGAGGCGUUGGAUGAUGCUGUUGGGGAUUAUAAUAUCAUAUGCCCUGCCUUGGAGUUCACCAAGAAGUUCUCAGAAUGGGGAAAUAAUGCCUUUUUCUACUAUUUUGAACACCGAUCCUCCAAACUUCCGUGGCCAGAAUGGAUGGGAGUGAUGCAUGGCUAUGAAAUUGAAUUUGUCUUUGGUUUACCUCUGGAAAGAAGAGUUAAUUACACAAAAGCUGAGGAAAUUUUGAGUAGAUCCAUAGUGAAACGGUGGGCAAAUUUUGCAAAAUAUGGCUAUUCCUCCUCAACUAUACUAAACUACCCUCUUGAAACAGAAUCUGUGGUUUUGAUUUGAUAUUCAUUGAAUUACUAUGAUGGGAAUCCAAAUGGGACUCACAAUAAUAGCACAAAAUGGCCUGUCUUCAAAAGCACUGAACAAAAAUAUCUAACCUUGAAUACAGAGUCAUCAAGAAUAUUGACUAAACUACGUGCUCAGCAAUGCCGAUUCUGGACAUCAUUUUUCCCAAAAGUCUUGGAAAUGACAGGAAAUAUUGAUGAAGCAGAAUGGGAGUGGAAAGCAGGAUUCCAUCGCUGGAGCAAUUACAUGAUGGACUGGAAAAAUCAAUUUAACGAUUACACUAGCAAGAAAGAAAGUUGUGUGGGUCUCUAAUUAAUAGAUUUACCCUUUAUAGAACAUUUAUUUUCCUUUAGAUCAAGGCAAAAAUAUCAGGAGCUUUCUUACACACCUACUAAGAAAGCUAUUAUGUAGCUGAAACAAAAAUGCCGGAAGGAUGAUAUCGAUUCCUCACAUCUUUAACUUAGUAUUUUACCUAGCAUUUCAAAAUCCAAAUGGCUAGAACGUGUUUAAAUUUCACAAUAUACAGUUGUACAAUUAAUUAUAUGCAUAUUAAAACAAUGUCCUGCUUCAAUUUAUUUCUUUCCUUAAUAAAUUUUUUUCCACCCAAAAUUAUCAGUGAUCUGCUUUUAGUCACAUGUAUUUUCAUUACCACUUGUAAAAAGGUAUCUUUUUUAAAUGAAUUAAAUUUUGAAACACUGUACACCAUAGUUUACAAUAUUAUGUUUCCUAAUUAAAAUAUGAAUUUAAUGUCAAUAUGAGAUAUUAAAAUAAGCACA